CACCACAGGCCCAAGCUGAGUAGGUGUAACUCACCUGAGUAGGUGUAACCCGCUCCGUCCCUGGGCUACGGCAGACAGGGCUCCGCCCCCGCACACCUGCCCAGAACCUGCCCUGAAGUCGGAUUCUGGUAAGAAGCUAGAGACGUCGGAUGAGACUGGUCGCCUCCCUGACAAUAGUCUCAAGGCUGAAGGGGCUGAUUAGAGGCAAGAAAAGAAGAGAAAGACUUGCCAGGAAGCGCCAUGUGGCCUGACCGCACCGAUUCCUGUUACUGUUCCUGUAAACACAGACGCAGCCCCUCUGCAGGCACCUGCGACUCUCAGCCUGUGUGGAGCAGCAGGGAAAACCAGGAUGUGAUGCCCUCGGGAGCUGCCCUCGGCCAAUGACGACUGGGAGUAGAAAGAUAAAUACCCAGGCCUCCUGGCCCUCUGGGUGGGCGUGUAAUCCCGCAGAACCCCCAAGCCCAGCUGACGUCAGCAGCAACCCGCACAGAAUGCAUCCGGCACUGGCUUCCUUCUCUCCCGACCCACUUCCCCACCCCCAUCAGUGCUUUCUGGAAUCACCUCCCAAAUAAACCACU